GUACUGCUGAAGAGUUCCAAAAUGGGACGAAACAUCCGUUCAGUAC
rnacentral:hammerhead_ribozyme from 1 species